GCGGUAGUGGCGAAAUCGGCAGACGCGCACGUUUCAGGGGCGUGUGGGUAAAACCAUGUGGGUUCAAGUCCCACCUACCGCA
rnacentral:tRNA from 1 species